UGGAAUAAUUUUUAGGUGAGCGAC
rnacentral:siRNA from 1 species